rnacentral:rRNA from 1 species
CAAUAGCGUAUAUUAAAGUUGUUGCAGUUUAAAAGCUCGUAGUUGGACUUCUGAUGUGGGACUGCGCCCCGGUAUUUUGCCGUUGGGUGCGGGCUCGCGUCUUCCUCUCGUAGUUGGAUGGUGCACUUAACUGGGUGCCUUCUGAAUAUGGGACCUUUACUUUGAAAAAUUAGAGUGUUCAAAGCAGGCAAUCGCUUGAAUACAUUAGCAUGGAAUAAUAGAAUAGGACUUUGGUUCUAUUUUGUUGGUUUCUAGUACUGAAGUAAUGAUUGAUAGGGAUAGUUGGGGGUGCUAGUAUUGGCCAGCCAGAGGUGAAAUUCUUGGAUUCGGUCAAGACUAACUUAUGCGAAAGCAUUCACCAAGGAUGUCUUCUUUAAUCAAGAACGAAAGUUGGGGGAUCGAAGAUGAUCAGAUACCGU